rnacentral:lncRNA from 1 species
CAUAUCUAAGAUUUUUCUUCCUUUUAUGAGACAGGGUCUUGCUACAUCGCCCAGGCUGACCUAAAACUUGCCAUUUUUCUGCCUCAGCUUCCUGAAUAUCUGGAAAAUAUGUGCUAUUUUACAUGAAAAAAAUUCCAGCCUUUGCUGUUGCUUUUGGACUUCUGUUUCCAGGUUUCCAACUCAGCCCCAUCAACUUCCCCAAAUGGAUUCACAGAGGAUUCUGCCUUGAGCUCCAUGCCUUUAAUUUUUUAUUGAACCCUCCACUUUCCAGUGCACAGACAGCCCUUU